UACGUAGGGCGUAAGCGUUGUCCGGAAUUAUUGGGCGUAAAGAGCUCGUAGGCGGCUUGUCACGUCGGGUGUGAAAGCCCGGGGCUUAACCCCGGGUCUGCAUUCGAUACGGGCUAGCUAGAGUGUGGUAGGGGAGAUCGGAAUUCCUGGUGUAGCGGUGAAAUGCGCAGAUAUCAGGAGGAACACCGGUGGCGAAGGCGGGUCUCUGGGCCGUAACUGACGCUGAGGAGCGAAAGCGUGGGGAGCGAACAGG
rnacentral:rRNA from 1 species